GAUGAAGAACGUAGCGAAACGCGAUAAGUAAUGUGAAUUGCAGAAUCCAGUGAAUCAUCGAAUCUUUGAACGCACAUUGCGCCCGCCAGCAUUCUGGCGGGCAUGCCUGUUCGAGCGUCAUUUCAACCCUCGACCUCCCCUUGGGGAGGUCGGCGUUGGGGACCGGCAGCACACCGCCGGCCCUGAAAUGGAGUGGCGACCCGUCCGCGGCGACCUCUGCGCAGUAAUACAGCUCGCACCGGGACCCCGACGCGGCCACGCCGUAAAACACCCAACUUCUGAACGUUGACCUCGAAUCAGGUAGGACUACCCGCUGAACUUAAGCAUAUCAAUAAGCGGAGGA
rnacentral:misc_RNA from 1 species